rnacentral:rRNA from 1 species
AACGAACGCUGGCGGCAUGCCUAACACAUGCAAGUCGAACGAGACCUUCGGGGCUAGUGGCGCACGGGUGCGUAACGCGUGGGAACCUGCCCUUAGGUUCGGAAUAACUCCCCGAAAGGGGUGCUAAUACCGGAUAAUGUCUUCGGACCAAAGAUUUAUCGCCUUUGGAUGGGCCCGCGUUGGAUUAGCUAGUUGGUAGGGUAAAAGCCUACCAAGGCGACGAUCCAUAGCUGGUCUGAGAGGAUGAUCAGCCACACUGGGACUGAGACACGGCCCAGACUCCUACGGGAGGCAGCAGUGGGGAAUAUAGGACAAUGGGCGAAAGCCUGAUCCAGCAAUGCCGCGUGAGUGAUGAAGGCCUUAGGGUUGUAAAGCUCUUUUACCCGGGACGAUAAUGACAGUACCGGGAGAAUAAGCUCCGGCUAACUCCGUG